rnacentral:rRNA from 1 species
AUUCCAGCUCCAAUAGCGUAUAUUUAAGUUGCUGCAGUUAAAAAGCUCGUAGUUGGAUUUCGGGUGGGAAUGGCCGGUCCGCCGUUUCGGUGUGCACUUGCUACGCCCACCUUGCUGCCGGGGACGUGCUCUUGAGUUUGCGCUCGGGACACGGAGUCGGCGAGGUUACUUUGAGUAAAUUAGAGUGUUCAAAGCAGGCCUACGCUCUGAAUACAUUAGCAUGGAAUAACACGAUAGGACUCUGGCCUAUCUUGUUGGUCUGUAGGACCGGAGUAAUGAUUAAGAGGGACAGUCGGGGGCAUUCGUAUUUCAUUGUCAGAGGUGAAAUUCUUGGAUUUAUGAAAGACGAACUACUGCGAAAGCAUUUGCCAAGGAUGUUUUCAUUA